UUCAAGAGAUAAAAACUCGCUACCUGUUCUCCCAAACGACAGACAGUCAACCGCUGUUCGCGCUCAUCCAAUAGUCCAUUCAAAGAUUUUGCGACAGCCUAUAAAGGUCACGUGAUCAAUAUAUUUGCAUGUUGGCACUCCCGCCUCCGAGUUCUGGGAGUUUGAUAAAGCACUGUCACUUGCCCGCCCUCGGCCAUUACGUGAAAAACAGUCACUGCAGCCCAUUCCACGAAACAGGAAACAGCAUGCCUCGUCUGUUGGAAUGUAUAUGGAAGUGCAGUUUCGCCAUCCUCGUCUUGUACAUGCUGUUUGUCAAAGCCGAAGACUCAACGAGCGAUGAUUUCCCACCUAGUUAAG